GACGUAGGGUGCGAGCGUUGUCCGGAUUUAUUGGGCGUAAAGAGCUCGUAGGCGGCUCGUCGCGUCGUCCGUGAAAACCCGCGGCUUAACCGCGGGCUUGCGGUUGAUACGGGCGGGCUAGAGUUCGGUAGGGGAGACUGGAAUUCCUGGUGUAGCAGUGAAAUGCGUAGAUAUCAGGAGGAAUACCGAUGGCGAAGGCAGGUCUCUGGGCUGACACUGACGCUCAUGCACGAAAGCGUGGGGAGCAAACAGG
rnacentral:rRNA from 1 species